CAGUAGCCGCGGUAAUACAGAGGGUGCAAGCGUUAAUCGGAAUUACUGGGCGUAAAGCGCGCGUAGGUGGUUUGUUAAGUUGGAUGUGAAAUCCCCGGGCUUAACCUGGGAACUGCAUCCAAAACUGGCAAGCUAGAGUAUGGUAGAGGGUGGUGGAAUUUCCUGUGUAGCGGUGAAAUGCGUAGAUAUAGGAAGGAACACCAGUGGCGAAGGCGACCACCUGGACUGAUACUGACACUGAGGUGCGAAAGCGUGGGGAGCAAACAGGAUUAGAUACCCGUGUAGUCCCUGUCUCUUAUAC
rnacentral:rRNA from 1 species